UAACCAUCAAGCCUAGCUUGGUAUUGGAGCCCGCGUCUGCGGCUCCCAAAAACAGUGGCAGUCUUUACAGACCCUAAGUGUAGUAACAUAUCUCGCUUUUGGACUCUGUAACGGCUCGCCAGAACCUAAAUUUUUCA
rnacentral:misc_RNA from 1 species